GGUGCUUGUCUCUUUGAGCUGUCUGGUGCCAUUCUCAUCGCUGCCACGACACUCGCACCCACCGCCACCAUGACUGAGCAGAUGACACUUUGUGGCACCCUCAAGGGCCACAGUGGGUGGGUAACCCAGAUCGCUACUACCCUGCAAUUCCCGGACAUGAUGCUGUCCACCUCUCGAGAUAAGACCAUUAUCAUGUGGAAGCUGACCAGAAAUGAGACCAACUAUGGCAUCCCAUAGCAUGCUCUCUCUGGGGCCACUCCCACUUCUGUUAGUGAUGUGGUCAUCUCCUCGGAUGGCCAGUUUGCACUCACAGGCUCCUGGGAUGGAACCCUGUGCCUCUGCCUCACAACGGGCACCAUCACAAGAUGAUUUGUAGGCCAUACAAAGGACAUGCUGAAUGUGGCCUUCUCCUCUAACAACCGACAGAUUGUCUCUGGAUCCUGAGAUAAAAACAUCAAGUUGUGGAACACUCUUGAUGGUUUGCAACACGUCGUGCAAAUACACUGUGCAGGAUGAGAGCCACCCAGAAUGGAUGUCUUGUGUCUGCUUCUCACCCAACAGCAGCAACCCUAUUGUCUCUUGUGGCUGGGACAAGCUGGUCAAGGUGUGCAAUCUGGCUAAUUGCAAGCUGAAGACCAAUCACAUUGGCCGCACUGGCUAUCUGAGCAUGGUGACUGUUUCGCCAGAUGGGUCCCUCUGUUAUUCCAGAGGCAAGGAUGGCCAGGUCAUGCUCUGGGACCUCAAUGAAGACAAGUACCUUUAUACGCUAGAUGGUGGGGACAUCAUCGAUGCCCUGUGCUUCAGCCCCAACCACUACUGGCUUUGUGCUGCCACAGGCCCCAGCAUCAAGAUUUGAGACUUAGAGGGCAAGAUCAUUGUAGAUGAGCUGAAGGAAGAAGUAAUCAGUACAGGCUGCAAGGCAGAGCCACCUCAGUGUACCUCUCUGGCAUGGUCUGCUGAUGGUCAGUCUCAGUUUGCUGGCUACACAGACAACCUGGUGUGAG